GUUAUGAUGGCCGAGUGGUCUAAGGCGCCAGACUCAAGUUCUGGUCCUCUUAUGAGGGCGUCUGUUCAAACCCCACUUCUGACA
rfam:Triticum aestivum genome assembly, contig: Triticum_aestivum_CS42_TGACv1_scaffold_223571_3B